rnacentral:rRNA from 1 species
GACGAACGCUGGCGGCGUGCUUAACACAUGCAAGUCGAACGGAAAGGCCCUGCUUUUGUGGGGUGCUCGAGUGGCGAACGGGUGAGUAACACGUGAGUAACCUGCCCUUGACUUUGGGAUAACUUCAGGAAACUGGGGCUAAUACCGGAUAGGAGCUCCUGCUGCAUGGUGGGGGUUGGAAAGUUUCGGCGGUUGGGGAUGGACUCGCGGCUUAUCAGCUUGUUGGUGGGGUAGUGGCUUACCAAGGCUUUGACGGGUAGCCGGCCUGAGAGGGUGACCGGCCACAUUGGGACUGAGAUACGGCCCAGACUCCUACGGGAGGCAGCAGUGGAGAAUAUUGCACAAUGGGCGGAAGCCUGAUGCAGCAACGCCGCGUGCGGGAUGACGGCCUUCGGGUUGUAAACCGCUUUCGCCUGUGACGAAGCGUGAGUGACGGUAAUGUGUAAAGAAGCACCGGCUAACUACGUG